GACAAGGUCCACGCAUUGUGGUUGGAAUGUGGCAGAAUUGGCCGGAAGCAGAAUUGCCUGUUUCCAGUGAGGCCCCCUUGCCCUCUUGGAAGCAAUUGCUGUGUAGGAAGUCUGAACACCUCACAGGAGAUGGAGGCCAGUUCCUGCCUGCUGUAGCCACCCAGCUGAAGGGGGUCCAGACACGAGUGGAGGCAUUGUGACCUCCAGCCUCAGCAGACACCUCCACACUGCGCAGGGCAGAGCAACCACGCCACCGAGUGAGCCCCAUUUGCAGACUUUGAGCAAAUAAUGAUUGUGCACGUUGGAUCAUUUAUUGAGUUUCUCUCGUACACCAAGCACUGGUUGGAUCCCAUGCUUGUUGGUGACAGAACUGCUGUGAUGCCAGUCCUGCGUCCCCUUCAGCCUGUGAAGGAGGAGCACCAUGAACCAGCCAACUAACACGUGUCUAAUCACAUAAAGGGAACUGAACACCAGAGAGCCACAGUCACUUUCCGAAGGUCACACAGCAAGUGCA
rnacentral:lncRNA from 10 species